rnacentral:rRNA from 1 species
UACGUAGGUGGCAAGCGUUGUUCGGAUUCAUUGGGCGUAAAGGGUGCGUAGGCGGCGCGGUAAGUCGGGUGUGAAAUCUCGGGGCUUAACUCCGAAACUGCAUUCGAUACUACCGUGCUUGAGGACUGGAGAGGAGACUGGAAUUUACGGUGUAGCGGUGAAAUGCGUAGAUAUCGUAAGGAAGACCAGUGGCGAAGGCGGGUCUCUGGACAGUUCCUGACGCUGAGGCACGAAGGCCAGGGGAGCAAACGGG